rnacentral:sRNA from 1 species
CGCAGGGGCAUUCGAAAGAGCCCUGACUCCCGCCGCCCUGGAGGGAUCGAGGAGGUCAGGGACCCGGCGCGGCAGGGAGCCGACACAAGGACCGCGGGCCCGGGGCGGGGUAGCGGAGCUCCCCUCCCCCCACGCAUCCUGUCGUCCUGCCUGGGGACCCCAGGCUGCCGGCCGUCAGAGCUCCGUAGCUUCCUUUCGCCGCGGGAUCCCAGCCGGGGCCAGCUGUGCGCAGUAUGGUUGCCCCGGACCAUUGUUCCAACCCACCCAGAUGUGCAAACCUCUGUUUUGAGCACCUCUAGACUCUAAACUCAGGUCCUGUUCCCAUCUCAAGGUGCCCCAGCCCUCCCCGGACUAAGCUUUUAAAUCCAAAACCUGCACGUGAGGAGAAGAAAAAAAAAAAAAAAAGGCAAUGACGAGUAAUUAGGGCGCAGGCUGCGGAUCAGAAUGGAAGGAAAGUGGCCACUGGGACUUGUUGACUGCCGGUACCUUGAGCAGCAGGGGGAGAUCCAUCUGCAUUUUAGACCAAAUAAAUAGCAGGCAGGAUGAAGAAACUGCAGAUGUAAACUAAAA